UAUAUUAAAGUUGUUGCAGUUAAAAAGCUCGUAGUUGGAUCUCGGGAGCCGGCGGGCGGUUCGCCUCGCGGCGUCUACUGCCCGCUCCGGCCCUACCUGCCGGUUCACCGCGGGUGCCCUUGGUUGGGUGCUCGCGGCGGCCGGGACGUUUACUUUGAAAAAAUUAGAGUGCUCAAGGCAGGCGGCUCGCCUGAAUAAUGCUGCAUGGAAUAAUGGAAUAGGACCUCGGUUCUAUUUUGUUGGUUUUCUGAACCAGAGGUAAUGAUUAAGAGGGACAGACGGGGGCAUUCGUAUUACGGUGUUAGAGGUGAAAUUCUUGGAUCGCCGUAAGACGAACGACUGCGAAAGCAUUUGCCAAGAAUGUUUUCAUUAGUCAAGAACGAAAGUCAGAGGUUCGAAGACGAUCAGAUACCGUCGUAGUUCUGACCAUAAACGAUGCCGACUAGCGAUCGGCAGGAGUUGUUUUCGUGACUCUGCCGGCAGCUCACGGGAAACCAAAGUCUUUGGGUUCCGGGGGAAGUAUGGUUGCAAAGCUGAAACUUAAAGGAAUGACGG
rnacentral:rRNA from 1 species